GGGCGUUUAGCGCAGUCGGUAGCGCGUGGGUCUCAUAAUCCCAAGGUCGCGAGU
rnacentral:tRNA from 1 species